CGAUUCUCUUUUCUGUUGAUUCAGUUUUCAAGCAGCAUGAAUAAAUAUCAUGUUAUCUAGUUGACUGCAAACAGCAUGAGCACGUGUGAUCAACAAACAAAAAAUAAAAUGCAGAAAAACUUUUCUUAUUGUGUAUUGUGACAUAUAACAGUGAACAGAAAGGUACAUAUUCACAUUCACGUCAUACUGUUCUUAAAUAGUUUAGUCCUUCAGUCAUGAUUGUAUCUUGUGACCCUCCAAUGCAAAUCAAACACUCCUGUAUGUUUGUUCAGUAUUUAUGUGCUUCUGAUUGGAUCUGGAGCGUCACAUCACCACUUUCAAGAUGAAGAGUUCACUCUGCUUACUGCUGCUCUCAUUCAGCGUACACCGUUUAAAAUGUCAAAGUAUGGAGUCCAUUGAAAGCACGGUUCAGAAAAAGCCUGGAGAAACUCUGACUCUGUCCUGUAGAGGAUCCGGGUUUAGCUUUGACUGCUGUAGCAUGCACUGGAUCAGACAACAAGCUGGAAAACCUCUCGUGUGGAUUGGACGUGUUUAUAGUAAUGGUAACAGCCAUGACUAUGCUGAAGCCUUCAACAGACGAACUGAAAUCACCAGAGAUAAUUCAAAGAAUAUGGUAUAUCUGAAACUGUCGGGCCUGACAACAGAAGACUCAGCCACAUAUUACUGCGCAAAACAAACACAGAGACACAAAGUUCUUGAACGGCUGAACAAAAACCAAUUGAGCAAAAUCGAGGCCUUUAGUCUUUCAGAUGCAGGUCCAACAGAACCAGAUUACUGA